UACCCAAGGAAUGGCAAAUAUGAGCAAUAGUAUGGGGACCUUCAGUGCAUAUCGGGUAUGCUUUAUUGAUUAAUUCGUUUAAUCUCUUUCUACUCUUAGGACAUUGCAGGCAAACGGAGCGACAUGUAGAACAGCAGAAGCAAGGAACUGCAGAACUCGUUAAUUCAAAUGCAACAUGGCGAGGUUCCAUAGCAGCCCACGUGGACGUUGUGAGGGUAAAAAAGGAGGAAAUGCAUUUUACAUACAUAAGGUCAUAAGGGGACCACUGCCUUCUGAAUGAAUAUGAGUAUCUUCAUGGAAAAAAUAUCUUGAGAGGAAAAAAAGAACUUUGGCUGGGUGUGCGGAAUGGAGAACCCUUGGUUCUAUUAUUUAUGGAGACAUCACAGAACAGCCGGUUGGAGCUAAGGAAGCACCAAAAUAAUGUACCAGGCUAACCAAUCAGAAGGCCAUGGUCCCCCUUGGCUGCCUGUUUAUCCAGACACCGGAAGAAUUACUCAAGACCUAACUUUCUUUUUAUUGCACUUCUUAGGAGUACCAGGUCCAACCAUCAGCCCGUCCAGCUCCGGUCCCAUGGGGAUCACAUACAUGUGAGUACAAAGCGACAUUUUAUUGAUUUAUUCUUAUUUUUUUUAAAUUUUAUUUGUUUUUAAUUUGAGAGAGAGAGAGAGAG